UGAAGGGGAGGAGUCAGGUUAAAUCCACUUCAGUCAGUGUAGAUGAAGGGGAGGAGUCAGGUUAAAUCCACUUCAGUCAGUGUUGAUGAAGGGGAGGAGUCAGGUUAAAUCCACUUCAGUCAGUGUAGAUGAAGGGGAGGAGUCAGGUUAAAUCCACUUCAGUCAGUGUAGAUGAAGGGGAGGAGUCAGGUUAAAUCCACUUCAGUCAGUGUAGAUGAAGGGGAGGAGUCAGGUUAAAUCCACUUCAGUCAGUGCAGAUGAAGGGGAGGAGUCAGGUUAAAUCCACUUCAGUCAGUGUUGAUGAAGGGGAGGAGUCAGGUUAAAUCCACUUCAGUCAGUGUUGAUGAAGGGGAGGAGUCAGGUUAAAUCCACUUCAGUCAGUGUAGAUGAAGGGGAGGAGUCAGGUUAAAUCCACUUCAGUCAGUGUAGAUGAAGGGGAGGAGUCAGGUUAAAUCCACUUCAGUCAGUGUAGAUGAGGGGGGAGGAGUCAGGUUAAAUCCACUUCAGUCAGUGUAGAUGAAGGGGAGGAGUCAGGUUAAAUCCACUUCAGUCAGUGUAGAUGAAGGGGAGGAGUCAGGUUAAAUCCACUUCAGUCAGUGUAGAUGAAGGGGAGGAGUCAGGUUAAAUCCACUUCAGUCAGUGUAGAUGAAGGGGAGGAGUCAGGUUAAAUCCACUUCAGUCAGUGUAGAUGAGGGGGGAGGAGUCAGGUUAAAUCCACUUCAGUCAGUGUAGAUGAAGGGGAGGAGUCAGGUUAAAUCCACUUCAGUCAGUGUAGAUGAAGGGGAGGAGUCAGGUUAAAUCCACUUCAGUCAGUGUAGAUGAAGGGGAGGAGUCAGGUUAAAUCCACUUCAGUCAGUGUAGAUGAAGGGGAGGAGUCAGGUUAAAUCCACUUCAGUCAGUGUAGAUGAAGGGGAGGAGUCAGGUUAAAUCCACUUCAGUCAGUGUAGAUGAAGGGGAGGAGUCAGGUUAAAUCCACUUCAGUCAGUGUAGAUGAAGGGGAGGAGUCAGGUUAAAUCCACUUCAGUCAGUGUAGAUGAAGGGGAGGAGUCAGGUUAAAUCCACUUCAGUCAGUGUAGAUGAGGGGGGAGGAGUCAGGUUAAAUCCACUUCAGUCAGUGUAGAUGAGGGGGGAGGAGUCAGGUUAAAUCCACUUCAGUCAGUGUAGAUGAAGGGGAGGAGUCAGGUUAAAUCCACUUCAGUCAGUGUAGAUGAAGGGGAGGAGUCAGGUUAAAUCCACUUCAGUCAGUGUAGAUGAAGGGGAGGAGUCAGGUUAAAUCCACUUCAGUCAGUGUAGAUGAAGGGGAGGAGUCAGGUUAAAUCCACUUCAGUCAGUGUAGAUGAGGGGGGAGGAGUCAGGUUAAAUCCACUUCAGUCAGUGUAGAUGAAGGGGAGGAGUCAGGUUAAAUCCACUUCAGUCAGUGUAGAUGAAGGGGAGGAGUCAGGUUAAAUCCACUUCAGUCAGUGUAGAUGAAGGGGAGGAGUCAGGUUAAAUCCACUUCAGUCAGUGUAGAUGAAGGGGAGGAGUCAGGUUAAAUCCACUUCAGUCAGUGUAGAUGAAGGGGAGGAGUCAGGUUAAAUCCACUUCAGUCAGUGUAGAUGAAGGGGAGGAGUCAGGUUAAAUCCACUUCAGUCAGUGUAGAUGAAGGGGAGGAGUCAGGUUAAAUCCACUUCAGUCAGUGUAGAUGAAGGGGAGGAGUCAGGUUAAAUCCACUUCAGUCAGUGUAGAUGAAGGGGAGGAGUCAGGUUAAAUCCACUUCAGUCAGUGUAGAUGAGAGGGGAGGAGUCAGGUUAAAUCCACUUCAGUCAGUGUAGAUGAAGGGGAGGAGUCAGGUUAAAUCCACUUCAGUCAGUGUAGAUGAAGGGGAGGAGUCAGGUUAAAUCCACUUCAGUCAGUGUAGAUGAGGGGGGAGGAGUCAGGUUAAAUCCACUUCAGUCAGUGUAGAUGAAGGGGAGGAGUCAGGUUAAAUCCACUUCAGUCAGUGUAGAUGAAGGGGAGGAGUCAGGUUAAAUCCACUUCAGUCAGUGUAGAUGAGGGGGGAGGAGUCAGGUUAAAUCCACUUCAGUCAGUGUAGAUGAAGGGGAGGAGUCAGGUUAAAUCCACUUCAGUCAGUGUAGAUGAAGGGGAGGAGUCAGGUUAAAUCCACUUCAGUCAGUGUAGAUGAGGGGGGAGGAGUCAGGUUAAAUCCACUUCAGUCAGUGUAGAUGAGGGGGGAGGAGUCAGGUUAAAUCCACUUCAGUCAGUGUAGAUGAAGGGGAGGAGUCAGGUUAAAUCCACUUCAGUCAGUGUAGAUGAGGGGGGAGGAGUCAGGUUAAAUCCACUUCAGUCAGUGUAGAUGAGGGGGGAGGAGUCAGGUUAAAUCCACUUCAGUCAGUGUAGAUGAAGGGGAGGAGUCAGGUUAAAUCCACUUCAGUCAGUGUAGAUGAAGGGGAGGAGUCAGGUUAAAUCCACUUCAGUCAGUGUAGAUGAAGGGGAGGAGUCAGGUUAAAUCCACUUCAGUCAGUGUAGAUGAGGGGGGAGGAGUCAGGUUAAAUCUACUUCAGUCAGUGUAGAUGAAGGGGAGG